rnacentral:lncRNA from 1 species
ACAUGAGUUACAUGGACUGAUGGAAGGAAAAAGUAUGUCCCUGAAGGAAAAUUAAGAAAAUGAGGUCAUGAGGCUGAGUGGGCAAUACAACAGCAGUUUACAACAGACCUCCGGUUACAAGCUGCCCAUGUGACCAGCCAGGACCUGCCUCCUCCCCAGCUGGAGAGCCUUGCCCAUCAGGAGUGACAGGAGAAUCAAUAGAACCGCAGAUACACAAGAAAUUCCCAGAAGCGGGUUCCCACCAACCAGAUGUUCCCACGCCUUUCUCAGACAGAUUAGUGUCCUAGCAACUGGAAAACGGGAAAACGAAGUCUGUUUCUCUCUGGGAAUAGACUGGACAAAAGACAUUUGUGUGCUGAGAACAUCCUUGGAGAGUUUUCCUGCCAGUCCUGUCUCAAGCUGACCCAUCUACCUGCGUCUUCCUGCCCAUUGUUGGCCCCUUGCACCUUGGAAGCAGGGACCUCAUCUAAGACAUCCUGGCACCUGCAGCCUGGCACACAGCACGGAGCUGGAUAAUGGGGCACUGAUGAAGAUUGAAGUGGAUCCAGGAUCAUCUGUUAAUGAUCACACGACUGACAGUGUGCUCAUUAGCAUACAGCGUGACAAGGCUGCCCCUGGGGAGAAAACCAGCUCAGGUGGCCCUCGGCUGACAGGAGCCUCCCAGGAGGAUGUCUGGGAAGUUGCGUUUUUCCUGUGGGAUGGUUGAAAAGCCUCUCUGGUAUGAUUCUUGUUCCAGAGCUCCCAUGGGGUCUGGCGAGGCUGGACUUUUCCUGAAACUUCCUCGUGCUUGGUUUCUCCCAAGAGCUCUCCUUCAAUAAACACUUGAGUAAGAGUCACUGUCUGAGGUUUUGCCUCCAGGGAACCUAAUCUAAGACAAUAUAUUUUAAAGAUAUGUCUUUUAUGUGAUGUAAGGCACUUCCAGAUUUGGACCCUGAAAACCUCCCAAACCCCAUCCUCCCUCCUGUUUCCCCUUCUAUUGGCUUCACGUGUAUGAUCGUGUUGAAACAGUGGGUCACAGAUGCGGGAAGCUGGAACCCUGAAUCCCUGCAUGGAGGGGGUGACUUUGGAC